rnacentral:lncRNA from 1 species
AAUGCCUCCUGUCCUUUGGCUCGGCCCAAUACAUCUUGUUUGCAAGAUUGUUCAGACCGGUUUGGUUCGGUCGGAUCGAGAGCUUCUGAUUUUGGCUCGGUUUAACCAAACCAGCUCUUGGUUCGGUUCGGCCCAAGAUCGAAUCAGGGUCGGCUCGGUUUAAUUGCUUCUCUGGUUCGAUUCCUCCCACCAAAAUCACGUUCUUGAACUUUUCGAAACCCGAUUCCG